GAUGAACGCUGGCGGCGUGCUUAACACAUGCAAGUCGAACGGAAAGGCCCAAGCUUGCUUGGGUACUCGAGUGGCGAACGGGUGAGUAACACGUGGGUGAUCUGCCCUGCACUUCGGGAUAAGCCUGGGAAGCUGGGUCUAAUACCGGAUAGGACCACUUCUUGGAUGUUGUGGUGGAAAGUUUUUUCGGUGUGGGAUGAGCUCGCGGCCUAUCAGCUUGUUGGUGGGGUAAUGGCCUACCAAGGCGUCGACGGGUAGCCGGCCUGAGAGGGUGUACGGCCACAUUGGGACUGAGAUACGGCCCAGACUCCUACGGGAGGCAGCAGUGGGGAAUAUUGCACAAUGGGCGCAAGCCUGAUGCAGCGACGCCGCGUGGGGGAUGACGGCCUUCGGGUUGUAAACUCCUUUCGCUAGGGACGAAGCGUUUUGUGACGGUACCUGGAGAAGAAGCACCGGCUAACUACGUG
rnacentral:rRNA from 1 species